GACGAACGCUGGCGGCGUGCUUAACACAUGCAAGUCGAACGGAAAGGCCCUGCUUUUGUGGGGUGCUCGAGUGGCGAACGGGUGAGUAACACGUGAGUAACCUGCCCUUGACUUUGGGAUAACUUCAGGAAACUGGGGCUAAUACCGGAUAGGAGCUCCUGCUGCAUGGUGGGGGUUGGAAAGUUUCGGCGGUUGGGGAUGGACUCGCGGCUUAUCAGCUUGUUGGUGGGGUAGUGGCUUACCAAGGCUUUGACGGGUAGCCGGCCUGGGAGGGUGACCGGCCACAUUGGGACUGAGAUACGGCCCAGACUCCUACGGGAGGCAGCAGUGGGGAAUAUUGCACAAUGGGCGGAAGCCUGAUGCAGCAACGCCGCGGGCGGGAUGACGGCCUUCGGGUUGUAAACCGCUUUCGCCUGUGACGAAGCGUGAGUGACGGUAAUGGGUAAAGAAGCACCGGCUAACUACGUG
rnacentral:rRNA from 1 species